UUAUAUCAUCAUGCAGGAGUCACAUGGUAGGUUCAGUGAAUGCUUUCAACCAAUCAUAGCAUGCAAGCAUGUUUUUACAAGCUGCGGUGAGUUUCCCCAAUCAGUAGUGUGAGGGUGAAGCCACCGGAGCAGUUGCACUCGUGUCGCCCACCGUCAUCUUUAGAAGCCGACUAGUGCCGCGGUGUGUCGAAUAUCUGUAGGAAUUGGCCAGGUGCGGCCAGUUGCGGGCCAGUUGAUGGCGAGCUAUCAUUACCUGGAACAGAACCUGCCUCAACAACAUCAUCGCCACCUGUGGGUUCGGUAGGAGGUUGUGCAGCUUUGCUCACCCCCUCACUCUCAUAUAUACACGCACACAGCCAUUCACUAGGUUCUGGCUCAUGAACUAAUUGCAUAUCACGGACCAUCCACAUUAUUUGGACAUGGUGUUCAUCUUUUAUGAGCAAAGAAUAUAGUCCUAUACUGUGUAGUGAAUUGUCUUUAAAUUGAGUACUCUCCAGUUUUCUGAGUUACAAGUUGUUGUUUACCCUUUGUGAACUACUGAACUUCUCUGCAGAUUUGAAAUAUUUUGGGUAUUGUUGUUAUUGUUUGUCUUUUGUUUUCACUUAAUACAUGGUACCAACACAAAAUCUAAAUUACCUGUCUCUGUGUUAUUAUUUGCUUUUUCAACACCUCCCUCAGAUGAACUUUUAUCUUUUGUAAUCCAAUUAUUAACUAUAGCUAUAUUUAACACACAUACCCUGUGUGUAUGCUACAAAAUGUAGAAAAAUGAACAUAAUAAGCAAGUACACCAUGAAUCCAUUUUCCAAACCGUGUUUUUAGCUUGUCCUGAAU